rnacentral:rRNA from 1 species
UAGGGAAUCUUCGGCAAUGGGGGCAACCCUGACCGAGCAACGCCGCGUGAGUGAAGAAGGUUUUCGGAUCGUAAAGCCCUGUUGUAAGUCAAGAACGGGUGUGAGAGUGGAAAGUUCACACUGUGACGGUAGCUUACCAGAAAGGGACGGCUAACUACGUGCCAGCAGCCGCGGUAAUACGUAGGUCCCGAGCGUUGUCCGGAUUUAUUGGGCGUAAAGCGAGCGCAGGCGGUUUGAUAAGUCUGAAGUUAAAGGCUGUGGCUCAACCAUAGUUCGCUUUGGAAACUGUCAAACUUGAGUGCAGAAGGGGAGAGUGGAAUUCCAUGUGUAGCGGUGAAAUGCGUAGAUAUAUGGAGGAACACCGGUGGCGAAAGCGGCUCUCUGGUCUGUAACUGACGCUGAGGCUCGAAAGCGUGGGGAGCGAACAGG